GACGAACCCAACACACUCUUUACAGUUACACUGAGUUUCACAGUAAGGUUUUUAACCAGGGUUGACUUAUUGUAUCAUACAGUAUUUACUGCUUGUUUGAAACUAUUUCGAAGUGUGGAUCUUCACUUAGAAAUAACCAGGGUAUUUAUUUUGAAAUCCCAUGGUAAAAUGGUAGUUGUACAACUGACUAGGUAUCCCCCUUUACAACUGACUACGUAUCCCCCUUUACAACUGACUAGGUAUCCCCCUUUACAACUGACUAGGUAUCCCCCUUUACAACUGACUAGGUAUCCCCCUUUACAACUGACUAGGUAUCCCCCUUUACAACUGACUAGGUAUCCCCCUUUACAACUGACUAGGUAUCCCCCUUUACAACUGACUAGGUAUCCCCCUUUACAACUGACUAGGUAUCCCCCUUUACAACUGACUAGGUAUCCCCCUUUACAACUGACUAGGUAUCCCCCUUUACAACUGACUAGGUAUCCCCCUUUACAACUGACUAGGUAUCCCCCUUUACAACUGACUAGGUAUCCCCCUUUACAACUGACUAGGUA